GCUCAGUUGGUUAAGUGUCAGACUCUUGAUUUAGGUUCAGGUCAUGAUCUCAGGAUUGUGGGAUCAAGUCCCACAUUGAGCU
rnacentral:tRNA from 1 species